rnacentral:rRNA from 1 species
UACGUAGGUGGCAAGCGUUAUCCGGAAUUAUUGGGCGUAAAGAGUGAGCAGGCGGCAUGACAAGUCUGGAGUGAAAGCGUAAGGCUCAACCUUAUACAGCUUUAGAAACUAUCAAGCUAGAGUACGAGAGAGGUAAACGGAAUUCCAUGUGUAGCGGUGAAAUGCGUAGAUAUAUGGAGGAACACCAGUGGCGAAGGCGGUUUACCAGCUCGAAACUGACGCUCAGUCACGAAAGCGUGGGUAGC